GGAUCCUGAAAAACCCGGUCCGUGCCUCACGCUGCUGCCUCCCGCUGCUCGGUGCGAGGUCACCGCGGCCGGAUCGGCGGCUCUCCGGGGGCGUCGUGCCCGCUGAGAGCUCCAAUGCCCAUUGUCUGGAAUGAGGGGCACUUGCGGCUGGAAGGGAAAAUAAGCGAGUGAGCACAGGAAAAAGCUCCAAAUUAGCACCCCACUGACAGAAGUGGCUGCAAUGUGACUUCCUUUCUAGCUGGCCUAGCACCAUCCACCUAGAAAAGAAACAUGACUGGGACAAAUGCUGCUGUUCACUAGCAAGCAGUGAGUUGACCUGAGAGUAGGAAUAGGGUAUUGUACACCCACACAGAAAAGGCUGAAUAAGAAUGUAAGAAAAUUGAAUGGGUGAAUGGGAAGAGUUAAUAUAGUGAGUAAAGAAAAAUAGGCCUCUUGGAAUCUGCAUAAUUUGAGCUUUCAGUGGCUCGAAAGCAAGAGGUGCUUAAGAUCAUUUGUUUUCUGAAUCUGAAUUAAGACUUUGAUAUGCUGUGCAACAUUGGAAAAAAGCUUCAGAAGACUGUUCAUUAGCUAUUGAAACUAAGAUACUGAACGUCUGUUUCCAAUUAGUUGUCCAUCCAGCAUACUGUACAAUUAGUCGGUGGGUACUGAAAAGCCAGCGUUCAUAUAAGCAAUACUGAAGGUUAUGUGACUGAAGUUUGUCCCUUCCCUUGUUCCCUUCAUCUGCUGAAUUGCAGGAGAUGCUGGUUUUGUAUUAUUCUAACACAUAGAUGCCCUGAGGCAUGUCCUCCACCAUGAGAGCUGCUCGUAAGGGUGAAAGGGAUUGAGAUCAACUAGCUGCAAAUUGGAAUUCUUCACUUGCAGCAAAGGUGGCCCUUACA